GGGCGUAUAGAUCAGUGGUAGAUCGCCUGUUUCGCAUUUCCCUACAACGGGUAACGCUAAUACAGGAGGUCCCGCGUUCAAACCGCGGUUCGUCCA